GGGUUGUGAGGUUAAGUGACUAAGCGUACACGGUGGAUGCCCUGGCAGUCAGAGGCGAUGAAGGACGUGCUAAUCUGCGAUAAGCGUCGGUAAGGUGAUAUGAACCGUCAUAACCGGCGAUUUCCGAAUGGGGAAACCCAGUGUGUUUCG
rnacentral:rRNA from 1 species